UACGUAGGCAGCAAGCGUUGUUCGGAAUUACUGGGCGUAAAGGGUGCGUAGGCGGCUUUUUAAGUUUGGUGUGAAAUCUCCCGGCUCAACUGGGAGGGUGCGCCGAAUACUGAGAAGCUAGAGUGUGGGAGAGGAGAGUGGAAUUCCUGGUGUAGCGGUGAAAUGCGCAGAUAUCAGGAAGAACACCCGUGGCUAAGGCGGCUCUCUAGUACGGUACUGACGCUGAGACGCGAAAGCGUGGGGAGCGAACAGG
rnacentral:rRNA from 1 species